AAUUUUUUUUUUUUUUUUUUAACUGUAGCCUACUAAAUUGUCCUUCACAACCAAUGAACCUGGCAAGCAUUUCCUAGACUAAGGGUACACUAUACACAAUCCAGGAUUAUGGUAGAUUAAACAAAUUGUUGCUAUAAGGACUAAAAUCCUAAAUGGCACACAUACAAUUAGCUUAAUUGCAAGUGUUGCAUUCUACUACUUGGCUGCAAGAGCAUACCACAAGACUAAAAUCAACUUAAGACAACUCACUAUAUUAAAGAGAAUCAGAUUUCAAGGUGAAGUUCGAAAAAUGCUGUCUAUUUAGGCUCAUUAAGGGCACUCUACAACAAUCCAAAUUUAAGAAGGAAGCUGAUUUAGUGCACAUGUAAUUAAAUACUUUACAUUAUUAGCAAAGCAAUUCCGCUCGAACUUACUCAAGGUAUGGAUGGAUGAGAUAAAUCAAAAGGUUAGAAGCCAAAAAUUAAAAUACUGCAAAACCUCAAAUUAUCAUAGAAUCUAAACAUUUUUGCGGCAGAAAAUAAAAGAAUUAGAAUCAUCAUGCUUAUGAAAAUUAAAAGAAACAAAAUAACAAGAAAAUAGAGACAUAAAGGAGCGAAAAUAGCAGCCAAAUGGACUUACCUCUUCCGUCAAUUCUGAUUGCUCUGUAUUCAGCAAAUACCUUAAUUAACGUAGUUUCCUUUGUCAACAACACUAGGUUUGUCAAGUGACCCAAGAUGAUGGGAAAGAGAUCGGAUGGCAGUGAAGUGCGUUUACUUGUGAUAGCAAUUAAGAAAUCUAAAAUAACAAGUAAACUGAAUUUGAUACCCUUAAGUGAGGGGAAGGAUUUAAGUUGGGGUAUUGGGUGGAGAUGAAAAUUUAACUAAUUGGGUGGAGAUGAAAAUUUAACUAAUUGUUUCGUGGAUUCCUAGGUUGAUUGGGUAGAAUGAAGAUGCAAUUAGUCAGGGCAAAAAGGGUUUUGAGUCCUGGGUUCUUAAUUUCUCCUCAUGAUUCGGUGACAAAAAUGGUGCUUUCUUGAUCUAAUAUGGGAUUAAGAACAAUGGUGACUGAGAAUUGGAAGAGAAUUGGCAAGCUUUAACACUAGAUUUGUGAGCAAAUGGUAGCAGGGGAAAAGAAGGGGCUUUAUUGUUAACACCCUUUGAUUUCUCUUUACAUUUCUAUGAAACAAUGAUGAAGCAAGUGAGAAGUGGCUCCUGCUUUCCACUUCUGCCUCCAAAUCAAUUUCCUAAAAGUUGGUGGCUGAGGGAGGGUUCUACGAUGGUUAAAGGAGAUGAGGGAUAACUUGGGAGGUGCAGUUGGUGUCGGGUACACCGUGAAUGAUGAGGGACAGCUGCUGCCCCUGUUUUUCUUCCUUCAUUUUUGGUAUUUUCUCGUGAAAAUUUUAGUAACUCAACUAGUUAUGGAGAAAGAAAACUGAGGGAGAGGCUUUUUAUGGCAAAAGAGCAACAAAUUUUUGGUUAGGGAUGGCGGAUUUCAGCUAGAACAUGGUUGAUUUGGUGCAUGGUUAUGCUGCAAAUCCUCCCUUCUCUCCCUCUAUUUCAUUCUCGAAACUUCAAAUCUCUCUCUCUCUCUCUCU
rnacentral:misc_RNA from 1 species